CCGUCCACACUUGUCUGCUGCUGUUCCUCACCUCUCCAGUGAGCGUGGAGUUCCAUGGUCUCAGGUGACAGCCAUCACACCCACUCUGAAUUUCCUGACAGGCAUAAUAGAAUUGAAGACACAGUGGAUAACGACAGAGCCUCGUGUACUGCUAACAGGAUUAAGGAUGUUUUUCUGUGGCUGAACUGAAGCAUCUGUCCUCAGGGCUGGAGGCUGGGUAUCACCACAGCUGACCUCCUCUCCAUGGCUCUUGCUGCUGCUAAUCCUCCAAGAUGAAUCUGAAAGAGAAAACAACUGCUUAGUUGCUACAAAUCAUAGGAAGACUCUGGUGAGAAAAUCUCCAUAAAAGACUUCGGAAAAGAUAUGUGUCUUAAGGCAGAACUUGAGGAAAAGCAGGAGACUUGGCACAGAAGCCGCAGAAGGCUUUUUCCAUGUGUAGGAACUUGCAAGGAUGGCAGGAGGCUACAGAGAGCAGACUUGAAACCCUGUGAAAAGAAGAAAUAAGCAAAGCAAGAGGAUAAGCCCUGGGAGAACAGCGUGCUUCCCAGUGUCUGCCUCGUCCUGCACAGUAAGAGCCAGGUCAACUUCAGGAAAUAAGCAAGGCCUCUAAAAGGAAGCACGACCAGAAAAUACAGCACAACUAGGAGCAUAUGGAAGGGAUCCAAGAAGUGGAGACCAUCAUUCGGUAAUAGAAUCUGCUUUGGAGAUGAGAGAGCCUAGAAGGAUGCCCAAUGCCCAGAAUAAAUUACCAGAAAUAGAGCUUGGCUCGGUACAUCACAUGUCCUCAGACCAAGAACAACUAUGCUGGAGAAGCUGUAUUUCCUUCACCAUCACUGAGGAGCCUCAUCUGCACCUGGAAUGAAUUAAGAUAUCAAUGUCCUAUUUUGACUGCAUGCUGUUUAGAAAUGAGAUUUUGAGAAGUCUUAGGAUAGGGGUCUCACUCUGUGGCCCAGACUGGAGUGCCAUGGUGCAAGCACAGCUCACUCGGCUUCAACCUCCUGGGCUCAAGCGAUCCUCUCACCUCAGCCUCCCAAGCAGCUGGGAUUACAGGCACACACCACCAUAUCCAGACAAUUUUUGUAUUUUCUGUAGAAACAGGAGUUUCACAGUGUUGACCAGGAUGGUCUUGACUCCUGGACUCAAGUGAUCCUGCCACUCCAGCCUCCCAAAGUCCUGGGAUUACAGAUAUGAGCCACCAGGCCCAGCCUGACAGAACAUGACUUCUGAGGGUAGGUCAUAAAAGACAUUGUGACUUCCAGUUUGCUCUUUGAUCACUUGUCUAAAGGAAGUCAGCUGCCAUGUCUCAAUGACACUCAAGUGGCCCUAUGGAGGGGCCCAAAACAGCAUCCUCCCACCAAUAGCCAUCGAGGAACUGAGGAACUGAGGCCCUUUGCUAAUAGCCAUGAGUGCACCAUCAUGAAGUAGAUCUCCUGCCCCUGUCAAGCCUUCAGAUGACUGCAGCCCCAGCUGACUGCUCAACUGCAACCUCAUGAGAAACCCUCAGCUAGGACAACCCAGCUAAGCUAUUCUCAAAUUCCACAGAAACUGUGAAAUAAUACAUGCUUAUGUUUUAAGCAAUUAAGCUUUGGUUAAUUUGUUACACAGUAAUAGAUAACUAAUACAGCUGGCUUAUCAGGCAUGUGUAGUUUAAGACUUUUCAUACAGAUUGCAAAAUUGCCUUCCUGAAAUGUUAUGCCAAUUUACACUCCCACGAAGAGUUGCAUAAGAGUGCUCAUGUUCUCAGUCCUUCCUCUUGUUAAGUGCUACAUUUUUAAUUUAUUCUUUCUGAUAUUCUUUAUUCUUUCUGAUAGAAAAUGGUAUCUUAUUACUCUGAUUUAUAUAGUUUUAAAGUUCAAUGAGGUUGAACGUUUUUCAUAUAUUUAUUAUCUGUUUUGUGACUCUCAAUCAAAUGCUGUGUGUGUGUGUAUAUAUAUAUAUUAAAUUGUAGUGUUAAUUUUUUUCAUUCCUUGAUUCCUAAGGUCUAUUUGGCUUUUAACAUCUUAUAUCUACCUGUUACUAUGUUGCAAGUAUUUCUCCUAGCUUGCCACAUAGAUAUCCUUAUGUGGGGGACAUGAAGAUGUACUGCCUGCAACCCUUUCAAGGAAGAUUUGUGGCAGCUGUCUCUUGCCUCAGUUGCAGAGAGCUGCCUUGCCCAAGAGUAUGCUCUUCCUGUGACCCAUAUCCAUUGAUCAAUUGUUGUAGGGUAUAAAGGUCCAGCCAUUUCAGCCCACCAUGGUCCUGCUCUGGCAAGCCAUUGACACUCCCGAGCUCUCCACAGGGUAGCAUUGCUGAGCUGCAUUGUAGUUCGACCACUCCCCUAAAGAAACCCUGCUUCCUUCGUCUCCUUUCCAUAGGUGUCGAUCUCUAACAAACACGGUGCCCAUCAAAUUUCAACCUAGCAUCUUUUUCUAGAAUACUUAACCUGUGACAUCCUGGAAAUUAAUUCCUCAACUUGUAAUUGAUAUAAUAUCUAUAUACCUCUACACAUAAAUGUAUUACUCUUAAAAAUAAUUUAUUAUGUUUUUUCAUAGGGGAAACUGGUUCUUUUAUAGAAUGAUUAUUGGAAUAAAAACACAAAAAGUUGAGUGUUAUUUAAAAACACAAAGUCUUUCCCUAUCAGCUACUAUGCAAAUCCAUUAUCUAUAUUACAUUUCUUCAAAUAAAAUCACUUCCUUACCCUGCGAUAUCUCCCCUGUCACUUACUAUCCCCUUUAUCUUGUUUUUUUUUCUUCACAGCAUUUUAUUUGAGUAUCUUUUACAUCUGUAUCUGCCUCCCCAGCACCUAGAAUGGAACAUGGCAUAUAAUGUGUUCAAUAAAUAUUGAUUGAAUGGAUAGAUGAGUAGAUCAAUAAAGGAGUAAGUGACA
rnacentral:lncRNA from 1 species